rnacentral:rRNA from 1 species
UACAGAGGUCUCGAGCGUUAGGCGGAAUCACUGGGCUUAAAGCGUGUGUAGGUGGAUCGGUAAGUACCUUGUGAAAUCCCACAGCUUAACUGUGGAACUGCUUGGUAUACUGCCAGUCUUGAGCCAGCUAGGGGCUACCGGAACAAAUGGUGGAGCGGUGAAAUGCGUAGAUAUCAUUUGGAACGCCGACGGUGAAAACAGCUCGCUGGGGACUCGCUGACGCUGAGACACGAAAGCCAGGGGAGCGAACGGG